CGCGUAGGUGGCCACCAUAAGGCCGCGGUGAAAGUUCGGGGCUCAACCCCGGAUCGGCCGCGGCGACUGUGGGGCUCGGGUACUGUAGAGGCAGAUGGAAUUCCGGGUGUAGCGGUGGAAUGCGUAGAGAUCCGGAAGAACACCAGUGGCGAAGGCGGUCUGCUGGGCAGUGGGAUCGAAAGGUCCCUUCAACCGACACUGAGGCGCGACAGCGUGGGGAGCAAACA
rnacentral:rRNA from 1 species